rnacentral:rRNA from 1 species
UACGUAGGGGGGCAAGCGUUGUCCGGAUUUAUUGGGCGUAAAGAGCGUGUAGGCGGCCAUACAGGUCAGCUGUGAAAACUCGAGGCUCAACCUCGAGACGUCGGUUGAAACCGUAUGGCUAGAGUCCGGAAGAGGAGAGUGGAAUUCCCGGUGUAGCGGUGAAAUGCGCAGAUAUCAGGAAGAACACCCGUGGCUAAGGCGGCUCUCUAGUACGGUACUGACGCUGAGACGCGAAAGCGUGGGGAGCGAACAGG